rnacentral:lncRNA from 1 species
GUAUGUUGGUUUCUUUAUUAUUAUUUUGUUUUAUAGGGUUUUGUGAGGGGGUGGGCAAUGCAAAUUAAGUUAUGCACUCUGAAUGUCAGCAAGAACUGGGUUUAAAAGGAUACGAUCAAUCCAGUGGCAGCAGGGGAGCUCAACAUAGCCAACAACAAAAUCAACAAAACACACAAAAAUGCCAUCUGUCCUUUUCUGGUAUCUACAUUUUUAACAACAGAAACCUUUACAGCAGAAGCUAAAAAAGGUGCUAAAUAUUAAGCUCAAGUAUCCCC